UACAGAGGUCUCAAGCGUUGUUCGGAAUUACUGGGCGUAAAAGCGUGCGUAGACGGUUAUUUAAGUCGGGUGUGAAAGCCCCGGGCUCAACCUGGGAAUUGCAUUCGAGACUGAAUAGCUAGGGUACGGUAGAGGGAAGUGGAAUUUCCGGUGUAGCGGUGAAAUGCGUAGAUAUCGGAAGGAACAUCAGUGGCGAAAGCGACUUCCUGGACCAGUAUCGACGUUCAGGCACGAAAGCGUGGGGAGCAAACAGG
rnacentral:rRNA from 1 species